rnacentral:rRNA from 1 species
GACGGAGGGGGCUAGCGUUGUUCGGAUUUACUGGGCGUAAAGAGCUCGUAGGCGGCUCGUUGCGUCGGCUGUGAAAACCCGCAGCUCAACUGUGGGCUUGCAGCUGAUACGGGCGGGCUGGGAUUCGGUAGGGGAGACUGGAAUUCCUGGUGUAGCGGUGAAAUGCGCAGAUAUCAGGAGGAACACCGGUGGCGAAGGCGGGUCUCUGGGCCGAUAUCGACGCUGAGGAGCGAAAGCGUGGGGAGCGAACAGG